GAUGAAGAACGUAGCGAAAUGCGAUACGUAAUGUGAAUUGCAGAAUUCAGAGAAUCAUCGAGUCUUUGAACGCACAUUGCGCCCCCUGGUAUUCCGGGGGGCAUGCCUGUCCGAGCGUCAUUGCUGCCCUCAAGCACGGCUUGUGUGUUGGGCCUCCGCCCCCCGGCUCCCGGGGGGCGGGCCCGAAAGGCAGCGGCGGCACCGCGUCCGGUCCUCGAGCGUAUGGGGCUUCGUCACCCGCUCCGUAGGCCCGGCCGGCGCCCGCCGGCGACCCCCCUCAAUCUUUCCAGGUUGACCUCGGAUCAGGUAGGGAUACCCGCUGAACUUAAGCAUAUCAAUAAGCGGAGGA
rnacentral:misc_RNA from 1 species